AAUAAAGACCGUCUCAGAUUCUCGGCUACUUUUGGCACGUUUAUCUUUCGUUCCUCUUGUUCUCUCUCAACUUGGUCUUCCCGUGGUGCUUACUCUUCAGUCAUAACUUGCGAUCUCUCACUCUCUCAGUUUCAGAUAUCAAUACCAAACGGUUCUCGUAUUUAAUUUGUGCUUUCUGUUAUGUGAUCUGGAAUGCAAGGUUGACAAAAGAGAAACAAAGAAACAAUCUUAGCUGGGACUGGGAGUUCAUGUAUAUAUGUAAAAUUAAAGUUUAAGCCUUAAGUAUACAUAAAGUAAAUGCUUCAGGUAUUCGGUCAUGAACAAUCGUCUCUGGUUGAUUCAGGGUGUGAAAGCUUGUUGAUUCACGGAGUGAAAUUUGCUUCUUUUGAGACAAAUGUGAAGAUGAUCUAAAAGAUAAGCAUUCCCAACCCCUUCUGUAUUCAAUUGUUUCACACCCUGAUGACUUAACCUCUUUAUUUAGAACAUGAAAAUUUUCAAUUUAACUUCCUCUCGUCUUUAUGCUUGCACAACCUUUUCUGAUUUUCCAUUAUCACAUGAUUGUAGACUGUGAAAAUGAUCUUGCUCUUAAAAUAUAUUUUUUUCAAAAAUAAAAAUGAAUUUAUUCGUAAUAAUCUGAAGCUUGAGAAACACCCUUUCUCAAUUAAAAAAUAUAUAUCAAAGCCAAAAUAAGUAUUGUUUGGUCCCUUUGAUCUAGUGUUUAAGUUAUCGUACCCAAGGAACUUAGAUAUGAAAUUCUAAUUCUAAGAGAUGUGUUCAUUUUCUAGGCAAUUAAAGAGUUUAUUUAUUGAUUGUGAGCAUGCAUGUAAAUAAAGAAAACACAAAAUAUAAUUUUGAAAUUAGAUCAACCAGGUUACCUAGAUGUGACCAUCAAUAGGUGUGUUGGAGUGGAUAAGCAUGAAGUGCAGGGAAGCUACCUAAGGGAUGUUAACUAGUCCAUCACCUAACCGAAUUGGAAAUAUUUGAAAGGCUGUAAAUUGACACCUUAGCUAGAGGCGAGCUAAAAUACUACGGUUGAUCAAGUAGCAAUACAGAAAUCAGCGCAGAAAGUAAGCCCCAAUCAAUACUGAAACUAAUGCUAUAAAACUAAAAGCCGAGGUUCAUAUCAUCUUUUACAUCAUAAUCUUAUAAGAGGUUGCUUAGCUACUUAUCAUAAAAAUGAAGAACAAAACAAUUCUAAUCAUAGCUUGCAAAAUGAAAACAUGGGAGAAGAUUGCAUCUGGUGUAGUCUUUGCCUAAGCACCUCUUAAUCUACAGCCAAUGAACCCGCAAUAGGAUUUCGUCUCGUCUACGACCUUUCUAUUCGUGUGAUCUCGCUGAACUCAUUUUUUUUUUGUCAUGUCUUCUUUUAUAACUUAUUUUCACAACUUUUCGAGUAAGGGUUGUGAACGUCCGAACGUCGGUGAAUGCCACGCACUUCAACCGUGCUUCAUGACUGUGCCACUAUUACCAUGACCUUGCGCUCUCCUUGAUUGAUCACCGCAGUUGUGUCUACCAUCAACAUGCCCACUCUCUUGCCCUUUUUGUAACACGUUCAGCUUUUUGCUAUGUUUUCCAUGUUUUUUCUUUUUUUUCCAAUUUUUCACUCGAUUAUUCAAAAAAAAGAGUCACUUGAAACAUAGUUUAUUGCACAAUUAUCAUGAAAACCUGAGUUGUACAAAGAAAAGACAACGCAACUGUUUUUUUUUUUUUUUUCACUUUGAGCAGAAUAAAACGAUUCCUCAACAAGAAAAUGAGUAAAAACUGAGCUAAAAAAUAAUUGUAAGACAGUUAGAGCAAAAAUAACGUCGUCAUUUCAUCAUCGAGGGGCCACCGCUGGCGAACUCCCUGGCGGCGGAAGUCUCCUUUUCUUUUUCUGCCUCUUCUCCUGCUUUCACACUUUGAAUACUCGUACGUAAUAAUUGUUCAAUUACUUUGUCUCUUAAACAAGUUAAACACUUCUUUUCUUACAAGAUUGUCAAUAAUGUAUAUGCAGGUGGAGAUUUCACCGAGCAAUCAUCAUUGUCAGAUUGAGGGGCAAAAAAACGCAGUGUGUCAACACUCGUCAGUGGGGGUUUCGCCGUGCAAUCAUCACUGUCAGAUAGAGGGACAAAGAAACGCAAGAGUGUAUUUGCGGUAUGUGUGGCCAAUGCUCUCUAUGCCUGAAUGUUCGUAGUUUGUCAACGGCUAUCGUUUGCCUCAAGAUCAUAAGUGAAGACCAUCGACUUAGCUAGUUUUAGGGUAAGUUUACAUGAUUUGCUACACAACUUCGAACAAGAAGCUUUUAUGCAAGGACAACUGCGGAUCAGUGAAAGAGAAGAAGGACACAGAAUAUCCACAAGUCAAAGUUGACACAAUAUGAGAGAAGAUAAAAGAUGAAAGCGCAUAUAUAUCCCGCAAACGCUGGAAGUUUCACGAUGCAUGUGUUCCUUUUAUCGCAUCCAUAUGUUCAGUGUAUUAUAUAUAGUCAUGAGUUACACUACCUUGGCUAGCUUGUUCUUAUAUAGCUGGCUAGUACUAAUGAUAUAUGCUCUCUGCGUGGGAGAGAGACCACACGAUCCAUAUUGUUCAUGCAUUAGUGCAAUUAAGAAACAUAGUCGCAAUUAAUGCAAAGCACUUUAAUUACUUCCCGACAUAUAACAUCAAAUUCUGUUGCA